rfam:Triticum aestivum genome assembly, contig: Triticum_aestivum_CS42_TGACv1_scaffold_224966_3B
AUUAUACUCCCUCCAUCUUGAAAUACUUGUCGAAGAAAUGCAUAAAAAUGAAUGUAUUUAGAACUAAAAUACGUCUAUAUACAUCCAUUUCCUCCGACAAGUAUUUCCGGACGGAGGGAGUACUUG